rnacentral:tRNA from 1 species
GCCUCAGUAGCUCAGCUGGUCAGAGCAACCGCCUUGUAAGCGGUAGGUCGUGGGUUCGAAUCCCACCUGAGGCU